AUUGAACGCUGGCGGCAGGCUUAACACAUGCCAGUCGAACGAGUGGCGGACGGGUGAGUAAUGCUUGGGAAUCUAGCUUAUGGAGGGGGAUAACUACGGGAAACUGUAGCUCAUACCGCGUACCAUAGGAUGAGCCCAAGUGGGAUUAGGUAGUUGGUGAGGCAAAGGCUCACCAAGCCGACGAGCUCUAGCUGGUCUGAGAGGAUGCCCAGCCACACUGGGACUGAGACACGGCCCAGACUCCGACGGGAGGCAGCAGGGGGGAAUAUUGCGCAAUGGGGGCAACCUGACGCAGCCAUGCCGCGUGAAUGAAGAAGGCCUUCGGGUUGUAAAGUUCUUUCGGUAGCGAGGCGUUAACUACAGAAGAAGCACCGGCGAACUCCGUGCCAGCAGCCGCGGUAAUA
rnacentral:rRNA from 1 species